rnacentral:rRNA from 1 species
AGUGAACGCUGGCGGUAGGCCUAACACAUGCAAGUCGAACGGCAGCACAGCAAGAGCUUGCUCUUACGGGUGGCGAGUGGCGGACGGGUGAGGAAUACAUCGGAAUCUACUUUUUCGUGGGGGAUAACGUAGGGAAACUUACGCUAAUACCGCAUACGACCUACGGGUGAAAGCAGGGGAUCUUCGGACCUUGCGCGAUUGAAUGAGCCGAUGUCGGAUUAGCUAGUUGGCGGGGUAAAGGCCCACCAAGGCGACGAUCCGUAGCUGGUCUGAGAGGAUGGUCAGCCACACUGGAACUGAGACACGGUCCAGACUCCUACGGGAGGCAGCAGUGGGGAAUAUUGGACAAUGGGCGCAAGCCUGAUCCAGCCAUACCGCGUGGGUGAAGAAGGCCUUCGGGUUGUAAAGCCCUUUUGUUGGGAAAGAAAAGCAGCAGGUUAAUACCCCGCUGUUCUGACGGUACCCAAAGAAUAAGCACCGGCUAACUUCGUG